CCCAUAGGUACCAGCCCUCCAGCUGUACCAGCAGGGUGUUGACACUCCUACCAAGAAAUAAAGGACUUUUAGAACCUGGGAAAUGGGAGAAGGGAAGGAGGGAAAUGUAAGGAGGACCAGUAUGAAAUGAAGUUGGAAAAAGGAAGAUUGGUACUAGAUUAUGGAAAACCAUAAAUGCCAGAAAAUGCUUAGAGGAAACAGGUAACUCUUUAUUGGAGAAUGUGCUUGCCAGAACUGACAAAAGAUAUGACUGAAUCCAGGAAGAAAUACAGUGUUUGAAGACAAAAAGCAAGGUCUCAAGGCAACAAAUAUCUGACACCUAGCAUGAAACCAAUGAUGCAAGGAAUUAAGGAAUUCUGAAGGAAAUACGAAUCAAUCACAUCAAUCAGUCACAUUGUGUUUCCCAAAGGACAGCAGGCCACAAGAUAGGAUUAACACAGGAUUUUGAACCAAAUUUUGUACCUCAGAAGUCAUGUAAUUUACAGAUGAGAAAACUGAGCAAUGUCCUCAUUCCUAUCCCAUGAAUAUUACUACUAAUGAUUGGUUGCCACCUUGACAUUGCAUUUUCUCAUCUUGGGAUGAGAAGGAAAGAAUGAAGUCCCUGAACCAAUCUCAUCUAAGAAAAGGGGUCCAUAAGUUUCAUCAGACUGCCAAAGGAAGCCAUGACGCAGCAAAAGGGUGAAGAAACAGAGGUCUGUGGAAAUUAAAUUCACAUAGAGGGUAAUCAUCGGAGGUGGGUUUGAACUAGACACACAUAUGUGUUUGUUCCUUAAUUUGCCAAAGUUAAUAAUAGAGAAUGCACUAAUUGGGCGAAA